UACAGAGGUCUCAAGCGUUGUUCGGAUUCAUUGGGCGUAAAGGGUGCGUAGGUGGCGAUGCAAGUCUGGUGUGAAAUCUUGGGGCUCAACCUCAAAAUUGCACCGGAUACUGCGUUGCUCGAGGAUUGUAGAGGAGAGUGGAAUUCAUGGUGUAGCAGUGAAAUGCGUAGAUAUCAUGAGGAAGACCAGUUGCGAAGGCGACUCUCUGGGCAAUUCCUGACACUGAGGCACGAAGGCCAGGGGAGCAAAC
rnacentral:rRNA from 1 species